GGGAGGCAGCAGUGGGGAAUUUUGGACAAUGGGCGCAAGCCUGAUCCAGCAAUGCCGCGUGAGUGAAGAAGGCCUUCGGGUUGUAAAGCUCUUUUGUCAGGGAAGAAACGGCUGUGGCUAAUAUCCACGGCUAAUGACGGUACCUGAAGAAUAAGCGCCGGCUAACUACGUGCCAGCAGCCGCGGUAAUACGUAGGGUGCAAGCGUUAAUCGGAAUUACUGGGCGUAAAGCGUGCGCAGGCGGUUUUGUAAGUCUGUCGUGAAAUCCCCGGGCUCAACCUGGGAAUUGCGAUGGAGACUGCAAGGCUAGAAUCUGGCAGAGGGGGGUAGAAUUCCACGUGUAGCAGUGAAAUGCGUAGAGAUGUGGAGGAACACCGAUGGCGAAGGCAGCCCCCUGGGUCAAGAUUGACGCUCAUGCACGAAAGCGUGGGGAGCAAACAGGAUUAGAUACCCUGGUAGUCCACGCCCUAAACGAUGUCUACUAGUUGUCGGGUUUUAAUUAACUUGGUCCCGCAGCUAACGCGUGAAGUAAACCGCCUG
rnacentral:rRNA from 1 species